GUGUCAGCAGCCGCGGUAAGACGAACCGUACGAACGUUAUUCGGAAUCACUGGGCUUAAAGGGUGCGUAGGCUGUGCGGCAAGUUGGGUGUGAAAUCCCCCGGCUCAACCGGGGAAUUGCGCCCAAAACUGCCGUGCUCGAGGGAGACAGAGGUGAGCGGAACUUCGGGUGGAGCGGUGAAAUGCGUUGAUAUCCGAAGGAACACCAGUGGCGAAAGCGGCUCACUGGGUCUCCACUGACGCUGAGGCACGAAAGCUAGGGGAGCGAACGGGAUUAGAUACCCCGGUAGUCCUAGCCGUAAACGAUGAGCACUGGGUUGGAGGGUCCUCCAUAACCUUCCAGCCGCAGCGAAAGUGUUAAGUGCUCCGCCUGGGGAGUAUGGUCGCAAGGCUGAA
rnacentral:rRNA from 1 species